rnacentral:lncRNA from 1 species
UUUGCUAAGGGCAUUAUUUAUGAGUAGCUCUUUAUCCCUAACCUAAGCUUGAAUACAGUGAGGCUAGUAUAAUUACCAAUAUAAAAAUCAACAUUACGGUGAUUUAGUUAGAAGAAUAUUUGAGUCUAUUCAGCAACUCAUUUUUGGGCAAUGGAUCUGCAAGAUGAAUUAAUUGGACCAAGGCAUAACAGAUCCAUUCAAAAUGAAUACCAAACUCUGUGACAAAAAGGAUUGUGCAAUGACACCAGUGAACUUCUAAAGCAGGCCGCUUAGCCAUUAAAUGAAUUUGUUACAUUCCUAUAUGUACUCAUUCCUUCUUUCUCAGUGUGACAUCCUUACAGCAGUUCUAAUAACUAGAACUUUUUAAUUAGAAUGAUCAAAGUGCCCCAUCAAUAAUGUACUGCCAUUAUACAUAACGUUAAUGGUGUGAAGCUAGCGUGCUUGCUUCACAUGGAGAACUUGUUGCUACAGAGAGUAAUUUACUUGAAAUAAUUUUAGGAGC